AUUGAACGCUGGCGGCAGGCUUAACACAUGCAAGUCGAGCGGUAACACUUCGGGUGACGAGCGGCGGACGGGUGAGUAAUACAUAGGAAUCUGCCUAGUAGUGGGGGAUAACGUAGGGAAACUUACGCUAAUACCGCAUACAUCCUACGGGGGAAAGCAGGGGAUCUUCGGACCUUGCGCUAUUAGAUGAGCCUAUGUCGGAUUAGCUAGUUGGUGAGGUAAAGGCUCACCAAGGCGACGAUCCGUAGCUGGUCUGAGAGGAUGAUCAGCCACACUGGGACUGAGACACGGCCCAGACUCCUACGGGAGGCAGCAGUGGGGAAUAUUGGACAAUGGGCGCAAGCCUGAUCCAGCCAUGCCGCGUGUGUGAAGAAGGCCUCGGUU
rnacentral:rRNA from 1 species